rnacentral:rRNA from 1 species
UACGUAGGGUGCAAGCGUUGUCCGGAAUUACUGGGCGUAAAGAGCUCGUAGGUGGUUUGUCACGUUGUUCGUGAAAACCCACAGCUCAACUGUGGGCGUGCGAGCGAUACGGGCAGACUAGAGUACUGCAGGGGAGACUGGAAUUCCUGGUGUAGCGGUGGAAUGCGCAGAUAUCAGGAGGAACACCGGUGGCGAAGGCGGGUCUCUGGGCAGUAACUGACGCUGAGGAGCGAAAGCGUGGGGAGCGAACAGG